GAUUCCUGUCACAUAAUAUACAUCUAACAUAAACAUAGAAUCACAUAACCACAUGUAUUACACAUAGCACAUACAAUUCCUAACGGGAUUCUAGUUGUUGAUGGACAUUGUGAAUUGCCUCAAACGCGUCCCAAAUAUAGCAAUAUCAACUAAAAGUCACCUUCUACGAAGUUUCCGUCUACAACAAAUAAUAUCACCUCAAGUUAGUCACUUAAUAUAAUAUCCCGAAAAAUAAUUAUUCAAAAUUAGAAAAUUAAUAGUAAAUGACAAAGUCAAAUAACCAAGGUUGCAAAGAACAAAUUUAAAAGCUUUGAAAAAAAAAAGUGACAUAAGGAAAUUUUUUUUUUUCUUGAAAGUUGUUUCAACGUGACAGCAAGUCACGGAUCUCUCGUGGAAUUUGCUGCACAGAACUGGUGCACGCAGCACGCAGCAGCGAGAAGCAGGAGGAAGAAAGGAAAGAAGAAAGAAGAAGAAGAAA